GGUGGAUGUCGUCGAUGGUGGCUUCGGUGAUUGAGAAUUGUGAGCCGUUGAUUGGGUUGACGAAUAUGGUAGAGAAAACUAACAGCAAUAAAAGCAAGGUCAACGGUGAAGAGGAGGGGAGAGACGUAGUUGGACUGUUGGUCUGCAUUUUUAGUUAGCGUCAAGUUUCAAACCAUCAGUCAGCAAAACCCGUCGGAGAACCGUGGAAGUGCUACACAACAUCUCUCCAUAAUCCAUCAAUACAUACUUUUUAAUGUAUAGUCUGCCUUUCACUGCCUUGUAUUGAUUUAUUGUUUAAUAGUUAAUACUUUAAUUUCUUUUA